rnacentral:tRNA from 1 species
UCCUUGGUGGUCCAGUGGCUAAGACUCUGCUCUCCCAAAGCAGGGGGCUCAGGUUCAAUCCCUGCUCAGGGAA